UACGGAAGGCAGCAGUGGGGAAUAUUGCACAAUGGGCGCAAGCCUGAUGCAGCCAUGCCGCGUGUAUGAAAAAGGCCUUCGGGUUGUAAAGUACUUUCAGUCGUGAGGAAGGUGUUAAGGUUAAUAACCUUAGCAAUUGACGUUAGCGACAGAAGAAGCACCGGCUAACUCCGUGCCAGCAGCCGCGGUAAUACGGAGGGUGCGAGCGUUAAUCGGAAUUACUGGGCGUAAAGGGCACGCAGGCGGUUAAUUAAGUUGGAUGUGAAAUCCCCGGGCUUAACCUGGGAAUGGCAUUCAAGACUGGUUAGCUAGAGUCUUGUAGAGGGGGUAGAAUUCCAUGUGUGCGGUGAAAUGCGUAGAGAUGUGGAGGAAUACCGGUGGCGGAAGGCGGGCCCCUGGACAAAGACUGACGCUCAUGUGCGAAAAGCGUGGGGAGCGAAAACAGGGAUUAGAUACC
rnacentral:rRNA from 1 species